rnacentral:rRNA from 1 species
AGAGUUUGAUCCUGGCUCAGGACGAACGCUGGCGGCGUGCCUAACACAUGCAAGUCGAACGAGAAUCUUUGGGAUGAUUCUUUCGGGAUGAAUUCCAAAGAGGAAAGUGGCGGACGGGCGAGUAACGCGUGAGUAACCUGCCCAUAAGAGGGGGAUAAUCCAUGGAAACGUGGACUAAUACCGCAUAUUGUAGUUAAGUUGCAUGACUUGAUUAUGAAAGAUUUAUCGCUUAUGGAUGGACUCGCGUCAGAUUAGAUAGUUGGUGAGGUAACGGCUCACCAAGUCAACGAUCUGUAGCCGAACUGAGAGGUUGAUCGGCCGCAUUGGGACUGAGACACGGCCCAGACUCCUACGGGAGGCAGCAGUGGGGAAUAUUGCGCAAUGGGGGCAACCCUGACGCAGCAACGCCGCGUGCAGGAAGAAGGUCUUCGGAUUGUAAACUGUUGUCGCAAGGGAAGAAGACAGUGACGGUACCUUGUGAGAAAGUCACGGCUAACUACGUGCCGGCAGCCGCGGUAAUACGUAGGUGACAAGCGUUGUCCGGAUUUACUGGGUGUAAAGGGCGCGUAGGCGGACUGUCAAGUCAGUCGUGAAAUACCGGGGCUUAACCCCGGGGCUGCGAUUGAAACUGACAGCCUUGAGUAUCGGAGAGGUAAGCGGAAUUCCUAGUGUAGCGGUGAAAUGCGUAGAUAUUAGGAGGAACACCAGUGGCGAAGGCGGCUUUCUGGACGACAACUGACGCUGAGGCGCGAAAGUGUGGGGAGCAAACAAGAUUAGAUACCCUGGUAGUCCACACCGUAAACGAUCC